AAAUGAUUAUUCUCAACAAACCAUAAGGACAUUGGUACUUUAUACUUCAUAUUUGGAGCAUGAGCAGGAAUAGUAGGAACAUCAAUAAGAAUACUUAUUCGUGCUGAACUUGGCCAACCCGGAUCUCUAAUUGGGGAUGACCAGAUUUAUAAUGUUAUUAUUACAGCUCACGCAUUCGUAAUAAUUUUCUUUAUAGUAAUACCUAUUAUAAUUGGUGGAUUUGGUAAUUGACUUGUUCCACUAAUAAUUGGUGCACCAGAUAUAGCAUUUCCACGAAUAAAUAAUAUAAGUUUUUGAUUACUACCACCUUCACUAACCCUUCUUCUUACAUCUUCUAUAGUAGAUAAUGGUGCUGGUACAGGAUGAACAGUUUACCCUCCUCUAGCAGGAGCUAUUGCACACGGGGGUGCAUCUGUAGAUCUAGCUAUUUUUUCACUGCACUUAGCAGGUGUAUCAUCUAUUCUUGGUGCAGUGAAUUUCAUUACAACAGCAAUUAAUAUACGAUCAGAAAGUAUAACUUUAGAUCAAACACCUUUAUUUGUAUGAUCUGUAGCUAUUACAGCAUUACUUCUCCUUCUUUCACUUCCAAUUUUAGCAGGAGCUAUUACUAUAUUAUUAACAGAUCGAAAUUUAAAUACAUCAUUCUUUGACCCUGCAGGAGGGGGUGACCCAAUUCUAUAUCAACAUCUAUUUUGAUUCUUUGGACACCCAGAAGUUUAUAUUUUAAUUCUACCGGGGUUCGGAAUUAUUUCACAUAUUGUAUGUCAAGAAAGAGGAAAAAUUGAAUCAUUUGGAACAUUAGGUAUAAUUUAUGCUAUACUAUCAAUUGGACUAAUAGGAUUUAUUGUAUGAGCACAUCAUAUAUUUACAGUAGGAAUGGAUGUUGACACACGAGCAUAUUUUACAUCAGCAACAAUAAUUAUUGCUGUACCUACAGGAAUUAAGGUAUAUAGAUGAUUAGCUACAUUAUAUGGAACUAAAUUCAAGUUCAAUCCACCAUUAUUAUGAGCUCUAGGAUUUAUUUUCCUUUUUACAAUUGGUGGAUUAACAGGAUUAGUAUUAGCAAAUUCAUCACUUGAUA